UGACAGGGGAAGGGAAGGGUGAGUGUGGCAGGGAUCCCUUCCCUCUCCUGGCAUGCUUUCCUGCCGCUGCCGGGCCUCCCCACGGACAGUCGGACAGGACCUGACCUCACAGACGCGCGUGUGGAGACCUCGUGCAUGGGCACGCACAAUUCCGUGGCGCACAGGCAGGCGGCACACACAUAGAAAAGCUAGGCUGCUUGUGUGUUGGGCUUGCAUGUCAGUCUUGGUUGACCCCAGCCAUCUCAAGCUCUCCCUUCCCUCACUCCCUGCCCCCCAGACAGACAGACAGACACACAGGCACAUGCUCCCUCUACAGUAUUAACGGCCAUUUAGGUCCCCAACAACGUGAUACAACAGAUUGGGGAGCUAAGGGACUCCACACCAAGGCUCCACGUACUAUCAUGCCAACCAGCUCCAACUUCCUCAACCUGGCACCGCUGCCCCCUUCGUGGUGUUAGGCAGAGUAGUGGGCAUAGUGCCCAGACAGCAUGGCUGUGCCUCGUACUCCUUUAAUCCUUCUAUGGGACACAGAAGCAGAUGCUCGGUCCCUUGUAAUCCCCACCUGCCUCUCCAGUCACCAUCAAAGUGUUGGUCUUAACGCCCUCCAUGGUGGUGCUGAGCCAUUGCAGGAAUGGGAGAAACAUCCAGAUGGAGAAAGAAAUUCAGAGAAGUGGGCAGAAGUUCUCCCCAGUUUCCUUAGGGUAGGAAUGCACACAUCCAAGCAGGAAAAGUUGAACACGGCAGAUGCAGAAGGCAUGGGAUACCUGGCAACAUGAAACCACUGGGGUCCUUGGUCCCUGGGAAUUCCCUGAAGGGAGGGACUGGCUCCCCAUGUCACCAGGCCCCUCCCAGUUCCACAAACAGUCAUUAGAUCCACUAGGGAAAUAAGCUUAGAGGCCUCUGAAUUGAGUGGAGCCUUGGGGGUCCCUCCUCACCUUAUCCUACUUCCUUGGCCUCCCUAAGCACUGCCUCCCUAAGCCUGGCAGAGAGAAAAGCAAAGGUCGGCACACCCCACCUGGAGGAGGAGCCCCCUCACCCCGUUUUGUCGGCUCUCCAGGCUCCCCCGCCUCGGUGUGCCUCGGGUACACAUUCUGACCCUCUGCCUGCGACCCUCUGCCUGCGCGAGCCUGGGGGGUGAGCGGUGGGGGAGCAGCCCUGGAAGCGGGAUGCAGAGCUGAAGAAGCGGAGGAGGGAUGUAAAGACCCGACCCAGGCUCUCCUCCCUCCAGCGCGCCCCCGAGGCGGCGCGCCGCUCGCUCAGGCAGCAGAGGCUGGACCACGUGCGCGCGGCGUGGGGUCCGCGCGCCGGGCUGGUGGGGGUGUUGGAGGGCUGG